rnacentral:rRNA from 1 species
GUCAGUCAUUCUUAACGAGAACUGAGCAGUAGUCAUAGUCGGUAUCAGUCAAUGCUAUCAGUGUGGCAGUAAAGCUCGAGUGAACUUGCUGGAUGCCGUACGCUAUCGCGAGUACUGAUCACCGACCUUACGUCUGGCUACAUUGGCUGUGGUGUUUGCGAACAGACUUUACUUGAAAAAUAGAGUGUUCAAAGCAGCGUUGCUGGAAUUAAUAGCAUGGAUAAUAGCAUAGACGUUAUGGUUAUAUUUGAUAGUUUCUAGACCAUCGUAAUGAUUAAUAGGGACGGUCGGGGGCAUCAGUAUUCAGUUUCAGAGGUGAAAUUCUUAGAUUUACUGACGACUAACUACUGCGAAAGCAUUUGCCAAGGACGUUUUCAUUAAUCAAGAACGAAAGUUUAGGGGAUCGAAGAUGAUCAGAUACCGUCGUAGUCUUAACCAUAAAUUAUGCGGAUUAGGGAUCGGGUGUUGUUCUUUUUUUGACGCACUCGGCACCUUACGAGAAAUCAAAGUCUUUGGGUUCUGGGGGGAGUAUGGUCGCAAGGCUGAAACUUAAAGGAAUUGACGGAAGGCCACCACCAGGAGUGGAGCUUGCGGCUUAAUUUGACUCAACACGGGGAAACUCACCAGGUCCAGACCCAAUAAGGAUUGACAGAUUGAGAGUUCUUUCUGGAUUUUGUGGGUGGUGGUGCAUGGCCGUUCUUAGUUGGUGGAGUGAUUUGUCUGCUUAAUUGCGAUAACGAACGAGACCUUAACUUAUUAAAUAGUGUUGUUAGCUUUUGCUGGUAUAGUCACUUUUUAGAGGGACUAUCGAUUUCAAGUCGAUGGAAGUUGGAGCCAAUACCAGUUCUGUGAUGCCCUUAGACGUUCUGGGCCGCACGCGCGUUACACUGACGGAGCCAGCGAGUAUUAACCUUGGCCGAGAGGUCUGGGAAAUCUUGGGAAAUUCCGUCGUGCUGGGGAUAGACCAUUGUAAUUAUUGUUCUUCACCGAGGAAUUCUUAGUAAGCGCAAGUCAUCAGCUUGCGUGGAUUACGUCCCUGCCCUUUGUACACACCGCCCGUCGUUAUUACCGAUUGAAGGGCUUAGUGAGGCUUCCGGAUGGGUUUAAAGAAGGGUGCAACUCCAUCUGGACCGGAAAAGCUGGUCAAACUGGUCUUAAGAGGAUCUAUCUGAUUAACAUGCAUU